GUGGGGAAUCUUCCGCAAUGGACGAAAGUCUGACGGAGCGACGCCGCGUGAGUGAAGAAGGCCUUCGGGUCGUAAAGCUCUUUCGUUAGGGACGAACGUGCUCUUUGUGAAUAAUGAGGAGUAAUGACGGUACCUAAAUAAGAAGCCACGGCUAACUACGUGCCAGCAGCCGCGGUAAUACGUAGGUGGCAAGCGUUGUCCGGAAUUAUUGGGCGUAAAGCGCGCGCAGGCGGGAUAUCAAGUCUGUCUUAAAAGUGCGAGGCUCAACCUCGUGAGGGGACAGAAACUGGUAUUCUUGAGUGUCGGAGAGGAAAGUGGAAUUCCAAGUGUAGCGGUGAAAUGCGUAGAGAUUUGGAAGAACACCAGUGGCGAAGGCGACUUUCUGGACGAUGUCUGACGCUGAGGCGCGAAAGCUAGGGGAGCGAACGGGAUUAGAUACCCUUGUAGUCC
rnacentral:rRNA from 1 species